UUAAGCCAAGGUAUAACUAUCACUCCACAGGUGAUUCUGAUGCGCAUCCCUGGCUGAGAACCAUGUUUGGGUAAAUACAGGGGUGCACAAAAGUAGAUUUACUGUGCCAUUGUGACAUUCUUUUGAGUUAAACCUAUUGUAACAAUCAUAACUUGCAUGUCUUUUACCAUACAAUUUUGACCACCGUGUAUAAAAGCAGUUUGAUUUUUGAAAUGAAGGAAAAAUUAUCUUACUAAGUGGCAAUUUUCUUAGCCCAAUUAUGAAGACUAGACAUCAAACUAGAAUGAAAUGCAUCCAUCUAUUAUAAUAACUCAUUUUUAAAAAGUUUUUCAUAAAAGGGUGCCCGUGUGUAUGUUUCCACUACAAUGUAGUUCUAAUGCUGAGUAAGCUUGCCUUUAAUGUAGUGAAGGAAAACCAGAUACCAAAGGAAAAAUCAUGGUUUUAUAAAUCAUGUGUCUAUAGAUUGUAAUUCUUAAAAGUAAUAAAUACCACUUGUAAAUUCAGGCAAAAAAUAUUUUUAAAUCUUUGAUUUGACUUGCCUUAACGUUGUUAUUAACUGAAAUAUAAAAUUAUUAAAAACAAGGUUUAUAUUAAAAUCUUCAGUUCUAUAAAUACCUGUUGAAUUAUAUUAAGUAUAUUAUACUAUCAAUAUGAAGCAACCAAUUACUAAAGUAGUAAUUUACAAGUAAAUAUGAACAUUCUUUGUAUCUAGGAUUUUUGAGUUGCAAGCUAAACACUGAAUUUUUACUGCAGUGGAAAGGAAAAGUAUAGCAGGCAAAAUAACAGCCCUGUACUCACUUUAGCAAGAUGCAGUGAAUUUCUGACCAGAGAGAUAAUUCAGGCUUGGAGGAAACGCUUGACUUUUAAGUCCUUGGAAAACUAAGAUUUUGAAUCCUGAGGUCUGCAGCUAGGCUAGUCUUUACUGUUAACAGAUGGUAAUUGUCCAGUUGUUCAUUGCUCAGAAGUAUGCAGGAAGCAGGAGUAAGUACAAUAUAUCCCUUUGGUACUUUUGCACAGUUUUAUCCUCCAAAAGUACUGUUAGAUUUAGUUGACCUAGCUUUCAGAGUGUUAAAGCUAAUUGAGAAGAAACUGACUCAAAUUUGUACUUUCUUAUGGCUUUUAUGUUUUUACAAUGCUAUCUGUGCUUGGUUUGAAAAUCUAAACUAAAUGCCCUAAGUACUACUGCCCUAUUAAGCAUUUCUCCAUAGCAAAGAGCUUGAGGAAAUGGGGAAAAUUCCAAAAUUUUAGAAAGUUAGCUGGGAGUACUUGAAAAGAGCUUCAUUUAAGCCAUGUCUUCUAAUAAUUUAUGAUUCUAUAGAAGUUAAAACAACCAAGAAAUGGCCAGCCAGUACAUAUAUUUUGAACUAUACUGAUUAAUUAGAAGAAUCAGAUGUAUUCCACAAGAAAACUAGUUUUCUGUCAGAUCUGGUAAAUGGGCCAGGAAGAUUCCCUCCUCCUCCCCCCCUUCCCCCUUAGCAAAGCCAACACAAAAUGGUAACUAUGGCAUUCAAUUAUGCAGUGGCUAUUAUUAGUGUACUCAAGCUCAGGGUAGUCAGGCCCCCCCCCCCCUUUUUUUUUUCUUUUUUAGAUCCAGGUAAUUACUAAAACUGAUGAUCCAUCAAUCUUGUAAAAGCUUUAUUUUUUUAAAUUAUUAGGAAAUAAAAAUUGACUUCUUAAAAAGUAUAACCUGCUAUGUAGUUUUGUGAAAAGGAACUAUUUCAUUUAAUAUUGUAGAAAGACCUAGUCAGAAUAACUAAUAUUCAAGAUUAAGGAUGAAGAGAUUAGAAGAUUGCAUCUAUCAGAAAAAGUAGAGAAGUUACAUACCUUAAUUUCCUUUUGGUGCUACAAACUCCUAGAUUAAGGGGGUAGUAUAAUUUACAUAUGUCAAUAUUAAUCCUUACAACCUUUUGAGAGGUAUUUAUCACAACUUGUCAGGAGGAAAUAGUCCCUAUAAAGAAAUUAAGCAACUUGCCCAGGAUCCUUAGCAAAUGCUAGAACUGGGAUUUAGUGACCAAAACCCUUGUUUUUACCACAUGAUGCUGUUUUUGAUUGGGAGGAUGGAAUUUUUUAGUUUGAAGAUUUUUUAAAAAAGGAAAAGGGCAACUUGUUGCUUUAAGCAGAAGAGACACACAAAAAACAAAAAAACAAAAAAAAAAUCUUCCCAAGGACUAAACAAUUUUCUCAUGAGAAAUUGUCCAGGAAGCAGUUGGCCUUAGGUUAGGAGUUUUGCCUCAAUAAUCCUCACUUUUAGAAUUCCUUUAUUACUAAAGCUGUCAUGUCACCAGAGAAGUUAUACCUAUACUAAUCAGAAACUAGAGAAACAAUGACAUCACAAUCUUCUUUGGUAGUAUGCACUGAAAUAAAAUUUACCUGCACCAUCAUUCAGGCUUCUCAGGUCAGCUUCCAGACUUGUUUUCUAAUGUGAACUAUAUGUGUAGCCAAAAGGAUUCCUUAAAAAGUUAUUUGGAGAACAGAUAUGCAUGACAUGGCUUUGUGUCCUACCUGAAGCAGUUAAAUAUCUCAGUAAACCAUCUGCAAUUAGGUUACGUGGUGGAAUUAUCUGUCAGGAAGGCACCUGUUGAGUUAUAGAUAGGAAAUGGCAAUGGUUCACAUUGUCAUUAAUUCUGGACUAAAGUAUCAACAGACAUUUAGGUGACAGUCGCCUCUCAGGGUGUAGAUGCUCAUUUACAUAUUUUUCCUUCAUAGAGAAGGGUGGUACAAAAAGCACUCGGUAUUAUUCAUUCACAAUUUUUAUUUCUUGCAAUUAACUUGUGUAUCUUCAAAGUCGAUUUGUCUUUUAAAAAAGUAAUACUUCUUACUCAUCAUACAAUCCACCCUCCUCCCCCAGUAAAACAAACCCAGGGAAGGAGUCAUUUAGGGGGCAGUUGAAAUAGGUACUCUUGGUUCGUGACAAAGUCUUCUCAGCCCACCAUUCAAUACAUACACAACAAAAUGGCAGCACCUCAAGUUCGCCUGAACGAAUCGUCCCAAAUUCCAGCCCAGGCAAAGUGAUGCAAGUGAAUGCCAUGGGAGUUAAAAUGGAAGCUUAGUCAUUGGCUUCCAUUUACUUUCCAUGGUAGUUAGCAGAGUCUUCAAACUGUCUUACUUGGGAAAGUCAAAAGUAAGCAAUGUAAGAGUUAAUGUUUUGACCCAGCCAAGAGGAAUUUAAAAUGAAACCAGAAAUAUUUACCUGGGUCACAGAAAGGAAUAUACAUUUUUCCUUGAGUCCCCAGCACCUGAAGUAGCAAGUUCUAAUAAUGGGCUUCUAAAGGCAUGCAGUUUUUCACACAUGUACUUCAAAGAAUUUCUUCCACUCAAACAGCACAAAGAUAAAAUAUUUUUGAGGCACAGGAAGAGCACAAGAACAAGUAUAUGCUGAGGCCUUGUGUAUGACCAAGAUGGUACACUUCAUAUAUAGAAGCAGUGAAAGCUGUUAAAGUGCUACUUAAAAAGGAUAGUCUAAUUAUUACACACGCAACUCGACUGCACUGCUAAAUAUGGUUGUCUUUAUUUUCUUUUUCUUUGCCCAGCCCUAUCUAAACAAAAUAAAACUACAGGACUGAAAUUAACAACCCAUUAAAAUCAGCAAUAAGUUAUGAAAAUCAUAAAGCUUUUU